rnacentral:lncRNA from 1 species
UCUUAUGUCCCUCAAGUUUGGAAACGUAUCUACCGUUGUGGCGUCAACUCCAGAGACAGUGAAGGAUGUCUUAAAAUCGUUGGACGCAGAUUGUUGUUCGCGACCUUACAUGACUUACGCUGCAAGGAUUACAUACAAUUUAAACGAUCUAGCGUUUUCUCCUUAUAGCAAAUAUUGGAGGGAAGUACGAAAGAUGACGAUUGUUGAACUCUACACGGCCAAAAGGGUUAAAUCAUUUCGACAUAUAAGAGAAGAAGAAGUGGCCUCUUUCGUCGAUUUCAUCGAGCAGUCUGCUUCAUUGGCAAACCCGGUUAACUUGAACAAGAAGUUAAUGCAAUUGUCAGGCAGUGUGAUUUGUAGAGUCGGAUUUGGGAUAAAUCUUGAAGACAGCAAACUCAAAAAUACUUAUGAGGAAGUCAUUCAAGGAACCAUGGAGGUGUUAGGAAGUUUCGCAGCUGCGGAUUACUUCCCGGUUAUUGGUCAACUCAUCGAUAGGAUCACAGGGUUACAUAGCAAAUGCGAGAAGGUCUUUAAAGCUAUGGAUUCAUUUUUCGACCAAUCUAUUAAACAUCACCUAGAAGAUGAGAGUAUUAAAGAUGAUAUCAUUGCCUUGCUCCUCAAAAUGGAAAAGGGAGAAACUGGACUUGGAGAGUUUCAACUUACUCGAAAGCACACCAAAGGAAUUCUUCUAGUAAGUAAUGGAAACUUUUCUUAAUCCAUAUAACUUCAUUCUUGACAUGUUGCAUAAUGUUUUUAAUCUUGUCUUAUUGAUUACUACAGAAUGUUCUUAUUGCUGGAAUAGACACUUCUGGCCACACAAUAACAUGGGUGAUGACACAUUUGAUUGCAAACCCAAGAGUUAUGAAGAAAGUGCAAGCCGAGGUGAGAGAAGUGAUCAAAAACAAAGAUAAUAUCACAGAAGAAGAUAUCGAACGACUCCAGUAUCUGAAGAUGGUGAUCAAAGAAUCAUUUAGGAUAAACCCACUUGUGCCACUUCUAAUUCCAAGAGAGGCUUCAAAAGAUGUAAAGAUCGCAGGUUAUGACAUUCCAAAGAAAACAUGGAUCCAUGUCAACAUUUGGGCUGUUCAUAGGAAUCCAAACGUUUGGAAAGAUCCAGAAGCUUUCAUCCCUGAGAGGUUUAUGGACAAUGAGAUUGACUAUAAAGGUCUAAACUUUGAGUUGUUGCCGUUUGGUAGCGGAAGGAGGAUGUGCCCUGGUCUAGGAAUGGGUAUGGCUUUGGUACACUUGACUCUUACCAACCUUCUUUAUCGAUUCGACUGGAAGCUUCCAGAAGGAAUGGAGGUAGAAGAUGUUGAUCUUGAAGAAUCAUAUGGACUUGUAUGUCCCAAGAAAGUUCCACUUGAGCUUAUCCCGGUUCUCACCCAAUGGACUUGACUUCAAUUUAUAUUUUCAUAGCUAAAAAUGUAAACUUUGUAAGUAUUUUAAGGUCUUAUCAAUGUAUAUAAAUAAGGAAAUUGUUUGAUGGAUCUCGUUUAAUACAUUUUCUCCGGUAACCACAACUUUUUUAUGACCGUUACUACUGGUUCGAACUAGUCGAUCUAGCAAAUAAAUGAAUAGUCAAGAGCAGAUGAAUUGAGAAGUUGGAUUAAAAUUUUCUUCUUUUCUUCUCCAUGUAAUUUGCUUGGAUCAAUCACAGUCUCGAUCAAGGCAGAAUAUAACUUACGUUACUAGAGAAAAAAAUAAAAACUUUAUUAACGUACGUUACUAGGUUCCAAGGACUAGUGGCUAAUCAAAAACAUUAAACAAACAAAUUCUGUUAAUACACGUUAUUGAACUAGUGUUUACAAAACAAAUACGUAAUUUAGUCGUCAAAACCUGUUGUUAUCGUUGGAUCCUUUCCUGCACCAGUGACUACAAAACCUAGUAUACAGCUCAAUAUAUACUUGUAUAUAUAUAUACUCUCAGUGUGCAUACAUUCAUUAAUCUUAUCAAUAAUAUUCAAACAAACGUGUCUCUUUCAAAAAAAAAAAAAUUCAAACAAACGUGUCCCCCACCUUAUCUUUAAAAAAUGAAGCAUUAUUCGCUUGUAUGGACAUCGAUCUGUAUUACUGCAAAUAAACUUAUCAUUGUUCCAAACUUCCAAUGAACAACGAGAGAUAUGACUCAUUGAUAAAGACUGCUCUUUGAAAUAAAUAAUCCUAAACGUGCUCAAAUAUAAUAUUCUCAAAGUAAACGCUUUGUUACACAGUCAAAUACUGUGUAAAUAUGAAAUUAUGUGUAAAUUUGUAAUUAUGUAAAUACAAAGGCCAUACAAAUGCUGUAUAAAUACGAAAUUGCCAUCACCUGCUUGUCACACAAUACCAGAAAAAAAAAAAAUCAUAUCUCUCUCUCUCCCUCUCUCAAAUCAAAUCUUCUGCAGAAAGUUUAUAAGACUUGAAGGUAAUUUUAUCGAGGUCGGUCUCUCUAUCUAUGCAGAUGUUUCAGUAUUAUACAAGAAACUCAUAUUAAUUACCUGGCUAAUUCGUUAUCUAUAAGUUUUCUUGACUUAUUCGAGUGUCGCAUAUAUUUCUUCUUGUGUUUCCUUUCGGCAGAUUGAUGCUUCGGUGUUUUUAGUUUGCAAGGUUCCUACUAAUACUCUGAAUUCAAAACAGAGUUCAGACAGGACCAAAGAGAAGCAAAACGACAUAGCAGAAGUCUCUUUGUCUGUGAAGAAAAGCGAGAUGGGCCAUAAGGUGCAGAGACCCAAACAAACUGAACAAAAUGCCCAAACCAACAAGCCCAUGAACUCACAACGGUCAUCUCAGUCUCUGCAUAACGACAAAAACAGAGCUGAUUCUGUCUGUCUGUUUUGAAUUCAGAGUAUUAAUAGUUCCAUCCACUUUACAUGUUUUUUCUUUUCUUUGGUUUAUGAUCAUCCAUUUAACAUGCUAUUGAGGCAACUAGAUAUUACUUAUUGACUUUUAUAAAUUAUCUUUUGUGUAGGAAGCAAAAUGAAUUUGUGGUAUAUCGUUGUUGGAAUCGUCUUCUUUGCAUCUAUACUCAUUGCAAAGAACACAAGAAAGACAAAGCAAAAUCUACCUCCUGGACCACCAAGACUUCCUAUAAUUGGCAACUUGCACCAAUUGGGAUCGCAACCUCAUCGUUCGAUGUUCAAAUUAUCUGAAAAGUAUGGAUCUCUAAUGUCACUCAAGUUUGGAAACGUAUCCACCGUUGUGGCGUCAACUCCAGAGACAGUGAAGGAUGUUUUGAAGACGUACGACAUUGAUUGUUGUUCACGACCUUACAUGACUUACGCUGCAAGAAUCACAUACAAUUUAAAGGAUCUCGGCUUUGCACCAUAUAGCAAAUAUUGGAGGGAAGUACGAAAGCUGACGGUUGCUGAACUCUACAACGCCAAAAGAGUACAAUCAUUUCGACAUGUAAGAGAACAAGAAGCGGCCAAAUUCAUUGACUUCAUCAAACAAUCUGCUUCAUUGGCGAAUCCAGUUAACUUGAACCAGAAGUUAAUGAAACUAUCAGGAAGUGUGAUUUGCAGAGUUGGAUUUGGGAUCAGUCUUGAAGGGAGCAAACUUGAGAAUACUUAUGAAGAAGUCAUUCAAGGAGUCAUGGAGGUUACGGGGAGUUUCGCAGCAGCAGAUUAUUUCCCGGUUAUUGGUAAAUUGAUCGAUAGGCUCACAGGGUUACAUAGCAAAUGUGAGAAGGUUUUUAAAGCAAUGGAUUCAUUUUUCGAUCAAGCUAUAAAACAUCAUUUAGAGGAUGAGAGUAUUAAAGAUGAUAUCAUUGACAUGCUCCUCAAAAUUGAAAGGGGAGAGAUUGGACUUGGAGAGUUUCAAUUUACACGAAACAACACCAAAGGAAUUCUUCUGGUAGGUAAUGAAGAACUUUUCAAUUUAAAAAACACUCCAUUCACUGAUUUCUUGAUUUUUUGUUUAUUACAG